rnacentral:rRNA from 1 species
AGCGGAGGAAAAGAAUCUAACAAGGAUUCCCCUAGUAACGGCGAGUGAAGCGGGAUGAGCUCAAAUUUAAAAUCUGGCCGGUUUACUGGUCCGAAUUGUAGUUUAAAGAAGCGUUUUCGGUGGCAGCCUGGGUAUAAAUCCUUUGGAAUAGGGUAUCAUAGAGGGUGAGAAUCCCGUCUUUGACUCAGUGCAUGCUACUAUGUGAUACGUUUUCAAAGAGUCGAGUUGUUUGGGAAUGCAGCUCAAAAUGGGUGGUAAAUCUCAUCUAAGGCUAAAUAUUGGCGAGAGACCGAUAGCGAACAAGUACCGUGAGGGAAAGAUGAAAAGAACUUUGAAAAGAGAGUUAAACAGUGCGUGAAAUUGUUGAAAGGGAAACGUUUGACACCAGUCAUGCGGGCGGAAAAUCAGUCUUUUGUAGUGAGGAAGCGCGUGGGUUCAGACCGCAAGGCUGGCCUAUGUGUUCUCCCUGCUGCAAGUGAUGCACUUUUCCGUCUGCAGGCCAACAUCAGUUUCUUCUGCUGGACAAAACUCCAAGAGAAGGUAGCAGCUUAGGCUGUGUUAUAGCUCUGGAGCGAUACAGUGGAGGAGACUGAGGUUUUCGCAGCGUGUGCUCUCGGGCAAGGCGGAUUGGGUGCUAUGAGAUCGUUCGGCGUACAAUGCAUGCAUUUUGCGCCGUGUCCUUUUUAUACUCGCUCAACUCUGC